rnacentral:rRNA from 1 species
AACGAACGCUGGCGGCAGGCCUAAUACAUGCAAGUUGAACGAACCCCUCGGGGUGAGUGGCGCACGGGUGAGUAACACGUGGGAAUCUACACUAGGGUACGGAAUAACUGCGGGAAACCUCAGCUAAUACCGUAUAAUGGCUCCGGCCCAAAGAUUUAUCGCCCUAGAAUGAGCCCGCGCUGGAUUAGGUAGUUGGUGAGGUAAAAGCUCACCAAGCCGACGAUCUAUAGCUGGUCUGAGAGGAUGAUCAGCCACACUGGUACUGAGACACGGACCAG